rnacentral:rRNA from 1 species
UACGAAGGGGGCUAGCGUUGCUCGGAAUCACUGGGCGUAAAGCGCACGUAGGCGGCUUCUUAAGUCAGGGGUGAAAUCCUGGAGCUCAACUCCAGAACUGCCUUUGAUACUGAGGAGCUUGAGUCCGGGAGAGGUGAGUGGAACUGCGAGUGUAGAGGUGAAAUUCGUAGAUAUUCGCAAGAACACCAGUGGCGAAGGCGGCUCACUGGCCCGGUACUGACGCUGAGGCGCGAAAGCUAGGGUAGCAAACGGG